GCAUAACUGCGGAGUUCGCGUUUCCUUCAGACCCCUUGAUCCUAAUUUAUUAUCGCCAGGGAAUCAGACGUGACCGGGUGCGCAAGCUCACCUCGUAGUGAGACGCCCGAAGGUUUGCAGAGGUACCCACUUGAACCUCUCCGGUUCAAGGGCAUUAGGUUAAGCGGCUCAGGCGGUUAUGCU
rnacentral:other from 1 species